GGGGAUGAAAGGAUUUCGACGGGUAUUCGGAAGCAAAGCAAGCGAGCAGCGGCGCGGACCCGCUAUAUCAAGCCGCAGUUUAGAAAUAAACGACAACGAAUACGAACUUCUUGCUGCUUAACCUUAAUCGGUAGCAGCCGUCCUUCCCGGGAGGCCUGCGGCCCGGAGCGGGGCGUCAUUUAGCAGGGCACGUGCACGGUUGGGACGCCUUGCCCGCCGUCAUGAAGAUACACGGCUACCAUAGCGCGCAGCCUGCCCGUUGGCGGCGCGUGAGGGGAAUCCAAACAACGGGAUGCGCUCGGAGAAAACUUUGCCAACGGAUGUUCGGACGCGGCUUCGAUUGCCGCCAUCUCCACCA
rnacentral:tmRNA from 1 species